rnacentral:rRNA from 1 species
GAUGAACGCUGGCGGCGUGCCUAAUACAUGCAAGUCGAGCGAACAGACGAGGAGCUUGCUCCUCUGACGUUAGCGGCGGACGGGUGAGUAGCACGUGGAUAACCUACCUAUAAGACUGGGAUAACUUCGGGAAACCGGAGCUAAUACCGGAUAAUAUAUUGAACCGCAUGGUUCAAUAGUGAAAGACGGUUUUGCUGUCACUUAUAGAUGGAUCCGCGCCGCAUUAGCUAGUUGGUAAGGUAACGGCUUACCAAGGCAACGAUGCGUAGCCGACCUGAGAGGGUGAUCGGCCACACUAGAACUGAGACACGGUCCAGACUCCUACGGGAGGCAGCAGUAGGGAAUCUUCCGCAAUGGGCGAAAGCCUGACGGAGCAACGCCGCGUGAGUGAUGAAGGUCUUCGGAUCGUAAAACUCUGUUAUUAGGGAAGAACAAAUGUGUAAGUAACUAUGCACGUCUUGACGGUACCUAAUCAGAAAGCCACGGCUAACUACGUG